rnacentral:rRNA from 1 species
GAUGAACGCUGGCGGCGUGCUUAAUACAUGCAAGUCGAGCGAACGGACGAGAAGCUUGCUUCUCUGAUGUUAGCGGCGGACGGGUGAGUAACACGUGGAUAACCUACCUAUAAGACUGGGAUAACUUCGGGAAACCGGAGCUAAUACCGGAUAAUAUUUUGAACCGCAUGGUUCAAAAGUGAAAGACGGUCUUGCUGUCACUUAUAGAUGGAUCCGCGCUGCAUUAGCUAGUUGGUAAGGUAACGGCUUACCAAGGCAACGAUGCAUAGCCGACCUGAGAGGGUGAUCGGCCACACUGGAACUGAGACACGGUCCAGACUCCUACGGGAGGCAGCAGUAGGGAAUCUUCCGCAAUGGGCGAAAGCCUGACGGAGCAACGCCGCGUGAGUGAUGAAGGUCUUCGGAUCGUAAAACUCUGUUAUUAGGGAAGAACAUAUGUGUAAGUAACUGUUCACAUCUUGACGGUACCUAAUCAGAAAGCCACGGCUAACUACGUG